AUUUAUUUUUAUGUGAUGCUGAGGAUCAAAUCCAGUGCCUCACCUGUGCUAGGCAAGUGCUCUACCUCUGAACUAUAACCCUGGCCCUGUUUAUAUUCUUAAUAGUAGUAAUGUCAUUGUGUAUGAGAAGAAUUUAGUUUUAUUAGUCAGGAUUGGCCAAAAGAAGUAAGGGAGAGAGUUUUUUUUUUUUUCCCCCAAGGCUGGAGCUUUGUAACCCUUAACCUUAAAGCUAUCUAACCUUCUAGAAUUGUUUUCAUUUUACACUUAGCUCAGUUGGAGCAGGAAGUAUUGUAUAAACUUCCUUCAACCACUGACAAAGCAGAAACCUGCAAAGAACUCUAUUCUUUUUAAGGCCCAGACUUUAGUAGAAGAUAAAACUAUACUAUUUCUGCUUUAAAAGAAAAAUGUUCUUUUUCGUAUUUAAUAGUUUAUAAUGAUUUCAAUGCUAGAGGACAGGUUCAAGUUAGUAGGGGAUGCUGAGGUAUGUAUAACCAGGGUCCAUAGUUGCAAGCUUAUAACAUGUAUGGUGUAGUCUUACGGGAUUUCUGGUACUAAUGCAAAACGAGGCUUGGAAACCAGGCAGAAGAAAGGGAGGAUGGUAGCAGCAUGAAAAAUAAGUCCUAAGCCCAGUCUGAUGAUAACUUUCCUGACUUGGCCACUCAGUACUGCUGCCACUGGACACUGGAUACCAUUGGAUUUGGUCUGUCAAAUGCAAUACUUAGUUAUACUGGAAUUUCAAACAAAUGAAGCUUUUUAGUGCCAAUAUGUCCCAUGCAAUAUUUGGGGCAUACUUAUACUCAAAAAAAUUACACAGAAAAUGAUUUGUUGUUUAUCUGAAAUUCUAAUUUCACUGGGCUGCCUGUAUUUUCACGUUAAAUCUGACAGUUCUGUUCUGGAUGUCCCAUUGCCAUUGCCACCCUUGUCCUUGGAAACUAGCCAUCACCUGCCACUCAAAUGAAUUUUCCAGGUGGUCCCUGGCUUUUUGGUUCAUGGGUUCUGAAAUGAACUUGACUGAGACAGAUAUGUGUCCUCAGAGGAGCAUCUGCUACAAGCCCCUGCUCCAACUGUGAGGGAGGUCAGAGAGCUCACAGGGCUGUUAGUGGGAAGUGGCCUCUGUCCUCCCCUGUGUCUUAAAUUUUUCAAAGAUGGAGGGGGGAACAGCAGGGAGGUUUAGAUAUGAGGACAGAGGGAUACCAAUGCCGCAUUCCUCCUCUUUCUUAUUAUUCAGUAUCCUGUGAGUUGGGGGCCAGGAAUGGUUAAUAUAAUUCUCUUUUCUGGUGGCUGGUUUAAGAAUCCAAACCUAAGGCAGCUAGCAGGUGGCAUCACUCUGGCCAAGGUUAUUUCAGAAUUAUAAACAUGAUCUAAACUGGGCCAAUGAGCUAUGAGUCUGUUAAAAGGGUCUAGGGAAAGUUAACUUUAUUACUGACAACCUGCAUAAAGAAAAGAUCUCGUUUUCCUAUCACAUAUUGUUUUAUGUCCUGUUGAAUCCAGGAAAUCCUUGUCGUCUUGUUUCCAGUUUGAGAUGAAGAACAAAGAGAGAAAAUAAGGGCAGAAAGCAUCUGAGUAUUUACUGAGAAUGGAGCUGGAACCAUUGAAAUAUACAAAAGCAUCUCAAUGAUAGAAUGUUUUCUAGUCCCGAAGCCUGUCCUACAUCUGGACAUCAGCUCUGUGCACUGACAUGUUUUGAUUUGGCUCACACAACUUCAAGUUGGGUGCUCCGGUGCUUAUAGCCAAAGACAGCUCCACAGAAAAAAGGAUUCGUGAAUGUAUGAGGCAGCUU
rnacentral:lncRNA from 1 species